rnacentral:rRNA from 1 species
GCCGCUGCAGACCUGGUUGAUCCUGCCGGACCCGACUGCUAUCAGAGUGGGACUGAGCCAUGCGAGUCAACAUAGCAAUAUGUGGCAUACGGCUCAGUAACACGUAGUCAACAUGCCCAGGGGACGUGGAUAACCUCGGGAAACUGAGGAUAAACCGCGAUAAGUCACUACUUCUGGAAUGGGUAAUGACUUAAAUCUAUAUGGCCCCUGGAUUGGACUGCGGCCGAUCAGGCUGUUGGUGAGGUAAUGGCCCACCAAACCUGUAACCGGUACGGGCUCUGAGAGGAGGAGCCCGGAGAUGGGCACUGAGACAAGGGCCCAGGCCCUAUGGGGCGCAGCAGGCGCGAAACCUCUGCAAUAGGCGAAAGCCUGACAGGGUUACUCUGAGUGAUUUCCGUUAAGGAGAUCUUUUGGCACCUCUAAAAAUGGUGCAGAAUAAGGGGUGGGCAAGUCUGGUGUCAGCCGCCGCGGUAAUACCAGCACCCCGAGUGGUCGGGACGUUUAUUGGGCCUAAAGCAUCCGUAGCCGGUUCUGCAAGUCUUCCGUUAAAUCCACCUGCUUAACAGAUGGGCCGCGGAAGAUACUAUAGAGCUAGGAGGCGGGAGAGGCAAGCGGUACUCGAUGGGUAGGGGUAAAAUCCGUUGAUCCAUUGAAGACCACCAGUGGCGAAGGCGGCUUGCCAGAACGCGCUCGACGGUGAGGGAUGAAAGCUGGGGGAGCAAACCGGAUUAGAUACCCGGGUAGUCCCAGCUGUAAACGAUGCAGACUCGGUGAUGAAUUGGCUUUAUGCCUAUUCAGUGCCGCAGGGAAGCCGUUAAGUUUGCCGCCUGGGGAGUACGGUCGCAAGACUGAAACUUAAAGGAAUUGGCGGGGGAGCACCACAAGGGGUGAAGCCUCGGUUCAAUUGGA